rnacentral:rRNA from 1 species
AUGAGGCUGGUUGCUGUCAUUGACACGAUCAUCUCCCCCGCGCAAUCUGCAUUCCAGAAGGCCAAGUGCAUCCACGACAGCUUCCUCUUCGUUCAGAAUAGUGUUCGCGCUCUGCAUCACCGCAAAACUCCCACCUUGCUGCUGAAAUUAGAUAUAGCAAAGGCUUUUGACAGUGUGUCAUGGGAGUACAUCUUAGAACUGCUAGAAAAAAUGGGCUUCCCGGCACGCUGGAGGGACUGGGUGGCCCUGCAUCUCUCGACCUCGUCAUCUGCCUGCCUCCUCAAUGGCGUUCCUGGCCGCCCCAUUGAGCAUCGACGUGGCUUGCGGCAGGGAGACCCGCUCUCUCCCCUCCUGUUCAUCCUCUGCAUCGAUCCACUGCAUAGACUGUUAGAAGAUGCAACUAGAGACGACCUCCUCCAUCCAAUCCCCGGUAGAACGGCGUGCAUGCGCACCAGCCUAUACACCGACGAUGCAGCCAUCUUCAUCAACCCCGUGCGCCAGGAGAUCGACGAGCUAUUGCACAUCCCGCGCCUCUUUGGAGAGGCAACCGGGCUGCGCGUCAACUUAGGAAAAUCAUCCGCCAUCCCGAUCGCGUGCGAC